rnacentral:SRP_RNA from 1 species
UGGCAGACCCCUCGUGCGGCGUUACCCUCGUGAACCCCCCCAGGGCCGGAAGGCAGCAAGGGUAAGCGGGCUCUGACGGGUGUGCGAGGGGUCCUCUCGUUU